rnacentral:lncRNA from 1 species
AUGAAGUCAGCGACACAGGUGUGCCAAAGCACAGUGACACGUCCAGGCGUGAUGGCCAUGGCAGUGGACUGUAUCGUGAAAUUGGGCGGCAGUGCGCUGACGCAGAAGAAUCAGCUGGAGACUCUACGAGCGGAGUCCUUGGAGCGAGCGGCUGCAAUUGUAUCUCGGCUCUGCGCAGGAGAGAGGCGAUGCAUUGUCGUACACGGGGCAGGUUCUUUUGGACAUUUCCAAGCAAAGGAAUAUGGUGUUGCUUCUGGAAUAUCAGCAGGAUCAGCUGCAAAUGACAGUUUGAGACAAGGACUGUGUCUGACCAGGCUUUCUGUCACCAAGCUGAACCAUUUGGUGACAGAACAGUUGGUAAAAUGUGGUGUUCCGGCAGUGGGCAUUUCGCCUUUUGGAGCUUGGAAAACAAAAUGCAAGAAAAUCAGUCAGGUUGCCAUCGACACAGUGAGUGACGUUCUAAAUUCAGGUUAUGUGCCAGUUUUACAUGGUGACUGUGCUCUUGAUGUAGAACAGCACUGCUGUAUCUUAUCUGGAGAUACAAUUAUUGAGUAAAUGUAUUUUGCAACUGGCAUGAAACUGGAGAACCAAAGUUACAGAUCUCUGCUAUUAAAAGGUUUCAAGGACUAGCAAGAUGUCCAUCCUAUGACAGAGACUGCAUGUGUGGAGAAAAAGGUUGUAAAGGUCCCAUGAAGCAUUUUGAUGCUUGGAAGCUAAGACAGAAG